rnacentral:misc_RNA from 1 species
UCCGGUUUGUCACCGGCAGUCAUCUUAGAGUGCCCACCUUAAAGUGCUGGCAACUAAGAUCAAGGGUUGCGCUCGUUGCGGGACUUAACCCAACAUCUCACGACACGAGCUGACGACAACCAUGCACCACCUGUCUCCUCUGUCCCGAAGGAAAGGUACAUCUCUGUACCGGUCAGAGGGAUGUCAAGACCUGGUAAGGUUCUUCGCGUUGCUUCGAAUUAAACCACAUACUCCACUGCUUGUGCGGGUCCCCGUCAAUUCCUUUGAGUUUUAGCCUUGCGGCCGUACUCCCCAGGCGGGGUGCUUAAUGCGUUAGCUUCGGCACGGGAGGAGUCGACACCUCCCACACCUAGCACCCAUCGUUUACGGCGUGGACUAC